CCUACGGGGGGCUGCAGUGGGGAAUAUUGCGCAAUGGGGGAAACCCUGACGCAGCAAUACCGCGUGAGUGAAGAAGGUUUUCGGAUCGUAAAGCUCUGUUAUUGGGGAAGAAAAAAAGACGGUACCCAAGAAGAAAGUCCCGGCUAACUACGUGCCAGCAGCCGCGGUAAUACGUAGGGGACAAGCGUUGUCCGGAUUUACUGGGCGUAAAGGGCACGCAGGCGGUUUUUUAAGUCAGAUGUGAAAGGUACCGGCUCAACCGGUGACAUGCAUUUGAAACUGAAAGACUUGAGUAUUGGAGAGGCAAGUGGAAUUCCUAGUGUAGCGGUGAAAUGCGUAGAUAUUAGGAGGAACACCGGUGGCGAAGGCGGCUUGCUGGACAAAUACUGACGCUGAGGUGCGAAAGCGUGGGGAGCAAACAGGAUUAGAUACCCCUGUAGUC
rnacentral:rRNA from 1 species